GACGAACGCUGGCGGCGUGCUUAACACAUGCCAGUCGAACGGAAAGGCCCUGCUUUUGUGGGGUGCUCGAGUGGCGAACGGGUGAGUAACACGUGAGUAACCUGCCCUUGACUUUGGGAUAACUUCAGGAAACUGGGGCUAAUACCGGAUAGGAGCUCCUGCUGCAUGGUGGGGGUUGGAAAGUUUCGGCGGUUGGGGAUGGACUCGCGGCUUAUCAGCUUGUUGGUGGGGUAGUGGCUUACCAAGGCUUUGACGGGUAGCCGGCCUGAGAGGGUGACCGGCCACAUUGGGACUGAGAGACGGCCCAGACUCCUACGGGAGGCAGCAGUGGGGAAUAUUGCACAAUGGGCGGAAGCCUGAUGCAGCAACGCCGCGUGCGGGAUGACGGCCUUUGGGUUGUAAACCGCUUUCGCCUGUGACGAAGCGUGAGUGACGGUAAUGGGUAAAGAAGCACCGGCUAACUACGUG
rnacentral:rRNA from 1 species